UCCCUUUUAGAACAGGAAUGUUUAUCCAAUGCCUAUACCCCCAUUGUAAAUAGCUUGUUUUUUAUUUUACAGGCUCACUGUUGGAAGGAACUUGCUUUCUGCAAGAUGAGACGUUGAACUUUGGACUUUUCGGUUAAUGCUGCACUCUUUCUCAUUUGCUCCUGCUGUCGCUAUGUGAUGUGCCUGCUCCCACUUCACCCUCUACCAUGAUUUAAAGUUCCCUGAGGCUUCCUGAGAAGCCAAGAAGACACCAUUGCCAUGCUUACCGUACAGCUUGAAGAACUGUGAGCCAAUUAAAACUCUGUUCUUUAUCAA